ensembl:lncRNA
GAUGUAGCGCAGGGGAAGAGUCGUCGUCAAACUACUAUGUUUGAGUGCAACCGAGGCAAGCCCGUCAGCACAGCUCUAUCGGCCAAGCUAACGAAUCUCCUCGCUCAGUGGAUUGCCACCAGCUGCCGGCCCAUCAGCGUGGUCGAAGAUGACGGGCUCGAGCUUGUUCUUCAGGCGGCUACAGGUCUCCGUAGAUUGUGGUUCCUUCUGGACCCUGGUCCUGACACCUGCCGUGGCCAUGCUGACGCCUGCUGCUGCCAUCAUCAUUAUUUUAGAUAUUAAUCAUAUUACUGUACUCAUAAACCGACAUUACCCUCUCCUAAAAUCUCUGUGCUCUCCCUCC